rnacentral:rRNA from 1 species
UAGGGAAUUUUCCACAAUGGGGGCAACCCUGAUGGAGCAACGCCGCGUGCAGGAUGAAUGCCUUCGGGUUGUAAACUGCUUUUAUGAGUGAAGAUUUAGACGGUAACUCAAGAAUAAGGGACGGCUAACUACGUGCCAGCAGCCGCGGUCAUACGUAGGUCCCAAGCGUUAUCCGGAAUUACUGGGCGUAAAGAGUUGUGUAGGUGGUUUAUUAAGCAAGGUGUGAAAGCGUGCGGCUCAACCGUAUAUACAUACUUUGAACUGAUAGACUAGAGCGCGAGAGAGGUUAUUGGAAUUUCUAGUGUAGGAGUGAAAUCCGUAGAUAUUAGAAGGAACACCGAUGGCGUAGGCAGAUAACUGGCUCGCUGCUGACACUCAGACACGAAAGCGUGGGUAGCAAACGGGAUUAGAUACCCCUGUAGUCC